UGUGAUGUGGAAGGAAAAGUGCAGCGCAAGACAAAGAUGAUACUUUCUGGCCGAGCGUGAGUACAACCUAUGGGUGUGGUUGGAGAGAACAUGUGUUCCACCUGAAUGGCAGAUCAAGAUUAUUCCUUCUCAUCUGCUGCAAUGGCUCAAUGUGUUAAGGAGAGGAGUGAGACAGCAAGAACUGCAUUCAUUCAGUCAUACAGACCAAAAGGAGGAAUGUCGCCCAGCCCUCUAAACUGACCCAGAACCCAGCUCAUGUCUCAACUGCUACCUCUACUACUUAGAAAGAAGUAACUCCGCUAAAGCAGGGUUCUGGACAAAUAUAUUUUUAUUGAUCAUAUACAAAUAGAUGAAGAUGGACUUGGAUGUUAAGAAAAAUAAUACUAUACAAAAUCAAGAGUAGACAGUCACCCCUAGACUUAAAUUAAGAGUGUGUACAUUAGAUAAUUUAAUCCAAUGUAUCAGGUAAAAACUUGAACAAACGUUUUGGCCUCUUCCAUAAAAUUCAGGGAAGCAUGUCCUCCACAAAACAGAAUCAAAAUAUAAAUGAAAGACUGGCUUAAGAUGAAAGGAAACCUUAUAAAUGAAAAGAAGCCAGAUGAGAGGCACUUAACUGAGAAUGAAAAAAAACUGAGUGGACAAAAUAAUUAUGAGAAGAUGAAUCUUCAAAUCAGAAAGAGGGAAAAAAGCUCAUUUGAUACUAUGGGAACUCAAAAGAGAGUGAACACAAAUGUGAAAAUUCCAAGAGUACAGAAAAGUAGCAUAACUAAAUUAAGAGCAUGAGAAAAUGUAUACAAUUCUGAGUAAUAAGAACAGAAAUCAAAAGUUAGUAUUGUAUGUUUUAGUAGAGCAACACUGAAGACGAAUGAAAACAAGAAAUAAUAUUAAAUAUGAACAUAUGG
rnacentral:lncRNA from 1 species